GUCGUCGCCGCGCUUGCCAAGUCGCCGCCGCCGCCUUGUUAUUGCUUCGCCGCCACCACGCUCUGCCGCGUCACCGCCGAACUCGCCAAGCCGCCGUUGCACACCAGAGGAAAGGGAGAUCGAGUAGAGAGAGAGAGCAGUGACGCUGCCGUCGCUGUUGGGGCUGUCGCGGUGGUUGCCGUCGUCAUUGAAGGAGCUCGUCGCUAAGCUGCUGUGUCGCCGCCGGAGGAGAACUCGUCGGAAAGCUGUUGUCCUAUCCGGUCGUGCUCUAUCCUCCAUUCUUCCUCCACUGGUUCCGCCAUUAUCCUUGCCCUUUGAAAACGUCGUAGGAAGCGUUUCACACCUCUGUCAGUUCUGUUUCACCACCGUUCAAGCCUGCCGUUCGUCACUUCUGUUCUGUUGUGCCUCUGUUCGCUGUUUUGCUUGCCUAUUAGAGCUGCUGCUGCCUCCAUCCAAAUUUUGCGCUCUUUCGUACCCUUUAGUUUGGUACUCUGGGUUUGGUAUCUUCAGUCCCUUGAGACUAAGUUGAAUAAAUAUUUGAUUAUGUGAGCAUUUCUAUUCA